GCUGGGCGCGGUGGCUCAUGCCUGUAAUCCCAGCACUUUGGGAGGCUGAGGCAGGAGGAUCACCUGAGGUCAGGAGUUUGAGACCAGCCUGGCCAACAUGGUGAAACCCUGUCUCUU
rnacentral:SRP_RNA from 2 species